AUCUAAAGCCAUCCUACCCUGAACAAGCUUAAUCUUAUCUUAUCUCAGAAGCUAAGCAGGGUUGGGCCUGGUUAGUACUUGGAUGGGAGACUACCUAGGAAGACCAGGUGCUGUAGGUG
rnacentral:rRNA from 1 species